AAAUCCACCACUGGGUAUGGGAUUGAUUGUGUAAUUGUAUAUUAGCACAUUCAUUUGAUAUAUAUUUAUUGCUAAUUACAGUAGUUCAACGCGAGUCGAAUAGCUUAGAAGAUUAUGAGAAAUUUGCACCUGAUGAUGAAAUCAUUAGAGGAACUGUCGAGUCUGAUGAAGCUGCAUAUGAAUCAGAAACUGAUGGUGAUGUUGUUGAUUAUUUGAUUGAAAAUUCGGAUGAUGACAUUGAACCAGGAACAUCCGAUGAACCAUACUCUGCAGAAGGUGCUAUACGCGACUGGGCCAUAUCAACAAACCAAACUUAUGGCUCAGUUGCUAAAGUAAUGGAGAUCGUUCGGAAUGUGAGCUCUUGUAAGCUGCCUUAGGAUGCACGAACUUUGCUGAAGGUAAAAUGAAAUAUUUCGACCGAUAUACAGAUAGUUGAAGGAGGACAGUAUUGGCAUCGUAAAUUGCAAGAAUGUCUUACCAAGCAGCUAAGUGGCAUAUCUCUGGAUCCUGACGUCAAACUUGAGCUGAAUGUGUCUAUAGAUGGUUUACCCUUAUUCAAAAGUAAUAACCUACAGUUCUGGCCUAUAUUAAUUAACGUCCAUGACAAACCAGAAAUUCCAGUUAUGGUUGUUUCAAUUUAUUGUGGAACUACAAAACCCGCUAGUAUUGAGCAUUUUCUUAAACCGUUUGUCGAAGACUUAAAUCUUUUAAUGAAAAAUGGAGUAGAAGUCGACGGUAGGAGGGUGAACUUUAAAAUACGUGCUAUAAUUGCCGAUUCACCAGCUCGUGCCUUCAUCAAAGGAGUUGCCAACUUUAAUUCGUUCGCAGGCUGUUUAAAAUGCACCACCGAAGGGAUCAAACUGCAAGGAAGGGUUACAUUUCUCGAUUGCAACGCAUCAGAACGAACGGAUGAAGCCUUUCGGAAACAAAUGUACGGCGAUCAUCACAAAAUUGAUUCGCCAUUACUGUUAUUAGAUAACUUUGAUAUCAUCCUUCAAAUAAUUGUUAGUGAUCAGUUGCAUUUAAUUGACUAACGCGUAACAAAAUGAUUUUUGAUAGGCUUGAUUGAAGGUAAAUUUGGCUUUAAAAAAGACUUUCUCCUUCUACACUUGCACAAUUAUCUGGAAUGUUGAUGAACAUACAAUUGUCAGCAAAGUUUCAUCGAAAAUUCCGCUCAUUUCAAGAUUUGCGUCAUUGGAAAGGAUCAGAAUUUUCAUCGUUUUUAUUUUAUGCAAGUGUUGUAUGUUUCAAGAGCGUGAUGAGUUCUGAGCAGCAUAAACACUUUAUGCUAUAUUUUUGAGCUAUAACAUUGUUUUCAUCAGAUGUCUACAAAGAACAUUGGCCACUUGCUAAUAAUUUGCUUCAAUUAUUUGUAAAAAAGUAUGCAGAUAUUUACGGACCUCAAUUCGUUUCAAGUAAUGUUCACAAUCUGCUACACGUUUACAAAGAAGUGAAACAUUUUGGUCCACUAUAUACGUUAUCAUCCUAUAAGUUCGAAAAUCUACUACAGCAAAUGAAACUUCUAUUGCGCAAUGGGUACAAGUGUUUAGAGCAAGUAAUCAACAGUGUUGCGAAAGUCACUUAAGAAAAGGAAAAAAAUGUGGAUAUUUCUGCUGGGGAAAAAUCACAAAAUUAGUUUUUAUUCCUUCCUUUGACUUUUGUGGUUAUAAGAGGCCGAAGGCGCAUCCUUCGGCUCUAUUUAUAUUCUCUCUCUCUCCCCACCGCCAUCGUAAACCGCGGUUACAAAUGGAGGGCAGCUUAGCCCUAUGCCCUAUCCUGGUAAGCCGUCAGAAAAACCCUACAACAGUCACGAGCGUAAAAGAUUUGUCAGGCUUUCUGUUUGUAAACAAACGCUGUUCACAACAAACAGAUUGUUAGAACAGGACGAAUAUUAUGUCCAUAAAAAGAAAGAUAGCUUCAAUUAUCCUUUCAUUCAUCAAAGGGGUAAUAUUAUCACUCUUCAUAUCCGAGAAGCAUUCUGCUUAAAAUAUGGACAAAGAAAUGGAUGGUUUUUAACCAAUUCCGGAUAUGUUUGCCAAUAUAUAAACGCAGUCUCACACAUCAAAAACAACCAAACAAACUUUAAGAUAACGGCAAAAAGAUUAAUCAAUACAUCAAACAGUUUUGAUUAUCCUUUUGAUUCAAGAAUUAUGCAUAUGCAUCGGGGUAAUCUCAGUAAUUUGGAGAAAAACGAUAUUUCUAUUGAUUUGGAUGAUGUAAAAUGUAAAUUAAUUGCCGUUCCUCUUUUAUCAGACAAGGAAUUUGAUUUUG